rnacentral:miRNA from 1 species
GUCAGCAACUUGAUUCCAGCA